UGGAAGUUCAAGGACGAAGAAUCUUACAUCGAGAGACAGUACCUGUCAAUCUCAUCUCACCAACUGGGGGAUUUCCAGUCACAUCUCAUGAAGCUUCCAGGACUUCUGGAAGAAUACACGUUGUCCCAGCUGGACCUCCACGACGGAAGCAGCUACACGGUGAAGGUCGUCGCCUGCAAUAUGGCGGGUUUAUGUCACUCCAAAGAUACUGGGGCCAUGUUGGUGGACAGCUCGAAACCCAUGACAGGUGCGCUAGCCGUACACACCGACCAUGCAGCGGGGCUGUCACGACACCAGUCAGGCUGGAUGAGAUGGA